rnacentral:sRNA from 1 species
CGGAAAGUAUGAUGUCUAAAACUACAUUAUAAGUCUUUAUUGAAGGAGAAAAGGGACUAAAGAUUUCGAAGGGACCAAUACUCAAAAAAUAUAAAAUUACACAAUGAAAGAACCACAUGCUAGUUCUAUUCCCAUAGAAAUCAUAACUACAAAAUUUGGCACAUCACUCUAGUAAUUAUAAUUCCCUAGUUUAUCUGUAAAAUUGUUUCCUUCUUUAAAAAUAUAAGAGGAGCAAAACAUUAAAAAAGAGAAAAUAAGCAGACAUUUACGCCAUCUCGCACAGAGCUUCCAAGGAACGAUAUAGUCAUUAUUAAGUUUUUAAGAUGACUAAUUGAGAGUCACAUUCGAGCUAGACAUAAUUCCACCACUUUUUCUCCACUAUUUCCAAAGUCAAGAUAAUAGCAAUAAUUUCAACAUGUAUAACGGUUCCUCUCGAAUGUAAGAUGCAAAACCACCUAAGAAGUUGUCUUUGUAGUUGGGGAAUCCACAUGCAGCAGGACCCUGUGGAAAGCAUCACCAGUAUUACAUUUAUGCAGUGAGCAAUGAGUGGAUGUGUUAGGUUCUUUAAUCAAGAACCUAAUGUAACUCACUUCUCUUCACUCAAACACCACACAAGAGUACUGAAAACAAUGAUUCUUUAUUCAUCAAACAGUCAAAGAUACAAUGCAGAGAGCUUAACCUCUCCCAAUCAGGUUACACGUUCCUGACGACCAAAAGUAUUUACUUCGCUAUAUCCCUCAACCUACCCUCUCGGCCCCUAUAUACAACCCUCCUAACUACCCACUCUAACUGCCUUGGCAGUUAGGUUGUGUAUCGGUAUGUGUACCGGUUUUCCUUCUACUAUAUACCAAUAAAGGCCUAUCAGGAUGAUAGUUAACUUCAUCAGUAAUAGUAGGAAAAACCCUUGGGAUAAAAAACUAAUCCAUGAAAAAGAGAUUUUGAGUGGAUUCAACUUCUUGACCAAUAAUCUACAAACAAAAACCGUUGUACAGACACAACCUGAGAUUACCAUCAGAAAUUCUGAUAUGAAAAAGUCUCCAGUUUAUAAAUAGCUUGGUGAGGUAUUACACUGGACCAACGUAAAUUGGAGCUGACAUCAUUAGACAGACCAAACAUAUUGGAGCUAUAAAAGAUAACACUCUCUUAGGGAUAAUAAUAGUAUCGAAGCUCAUAGCCCCUUCACAUUUUAGUCCUUAAAAUGUGUUUAAGAGGCUCGACGGACUAAAAUCUAUUUAAAUUGUUUUUAGUCUGAAUUCUUAAAAAAUGUGAUACUAUUGUCUAUUGAAGCAAGCUCCUAACCGAAAGUGACAAGAGUUUGUCUUUGAAAUCAUUUUUUCAUUCCCAUAAAUGCUGUUAAUGUUAUGACCUUUAAAUUUA